GAGGCAAAGGGCAGGGAGAGAAGGGGGGUGAGGGGGGAGAAACACUCAUUAAAACCCAGGACUCCACAGAGCUGCCGCACAUAGGAUCAUGUAUAGGGAGGAUGCAGAGAAACUGGAAAGGAUCCAGAGGCGAGCGACAAGGGGUGGAAUGCAGCCAUACGAGCAAAGGCUGAAGGAAGGGGGGGGAGGUUAGUUUGGAAAAGAGACGGGGAGGGGGGGAGAGACAUGGUGGUGGUUUUCAAACACUUAACAGGCUGCCAUACGCAAGAUGGAGAAACGUUCUUCUCUUACCACACAGGGCAGGACAAGAGGCAGUGGGUUCGACUGACAGCAGAGCAGAUUUAGAUCAAAUCUCAGUAAGGGCAGUAGGACAAUGGACCAGACCUGCCUAGGGAAGUUGUGGAAGCUCCUUCACUGGAGGUUUUCGAAAGGAGGCUGGAGAGCACCUGUCUUGGAUGGUGCAGACACAGCAAGUCCUGCCCCUUGGCAGGGGUUAGACUAGUUCAGUGGUUCUCAGCCUUCCCAGACGACUG